UACGUAGGGGCAAGCGUUGUCCGGAUUAUUGGGCGUAAAGAGCGUGUAGGCGGUUUGGUAGGUCCGCUGUGAAACUCGAGGCUCAACCUCGAGACGCCGGUGGAAACCAUCAGGCUAGAGUCCGGAAGAGGAGAGUGGAAUUCCUGGUGUAGCGGUGAAAUGCGCAGAUAUCAGGAAGAACACCAAUGGCGAAGGCAGCUCUCUGGGACGGUACUGACACUGGAGACGCG
rnacentral:rRNA from 1 species